rnacentral:rRNA from 1 species
GAUAACGCUGGCGGCGUGCCUAACACAUGCAAGUCGAACGUCCUCUCUCGCAAGAGAGAGGGAGUGGCGGACGGGUGAGUAACACAUGGGUCACCUACCCUUAAGUGAGGAAUACCGGCGAGAAAUCGCCGACAAGACCGCAUAGGCUCUCUCUUUUGCAAGAGAGAGCAAAGCUUCGCAAGAGGCGCUUGAGGAUGGGCCUGUGGCCGAUUAGCUGGUUGGAGGGUAAUGGCUUACCAAGGCGACGAUCGGUAGCUGGUCUGAGAGGACGAUCAGCCACACUGGGAUUGAGAACGG